ACAGAUACCGAACAGAAGUGGCAUAAACCAAGGACAAUGGGCAUAAAACCUGGUCCAGUAAAUGACAUGGUCGUCCUGUCAGCAAGACCAAGAGAGAGGAAAAUCUUUGAAGGAAUUAGAAGCAACUUGUAUAAAGGUGCUACCAGCCCUCUUCCACUCAUCUCCACCCUAAGGAUACAGGAUGUGUACAAGGGACUUCCAGCUGAAGAAGCGCCAAUGAUAACCACAAUGGCUGUCUCCAACGAUGUCCCUCUUGUUGACUCUUUGUUUGGUCCGGUACAAGAGGGAAGCGUUCUGUCAUAUCAGCUGCCAGCAAGGAUAGUUCCCAGGAC